GCGGCCGUGGUCUAGUUUGGUUAGGACGGAAGCCUCCCAAGCUUCCAACCCGAGACAGAAUUAAUCUCUGCGGGAAUUCAAAUCCCGGCGGCCGCACCA
rnacentral:tRNA from 1 species